AAUCCUAUGAGGAAGAAAUCCCCAAUAAAGAUAGGAAGUGCCGUAUGACACAUUAAACAGCAGCGGAUCCGGCUAACACUCUUCCCAUCCACCAUUUAACCGGCUCUUCAAAAUCAUUAACACGAUUAACAAAGCUUCGGUUUUUGGUCGGGAUCGUGCUUCAUCCUGUUCCGCUGUGUGUGUGAUUUGUAACGGGUCUCCUGAGGUUU
rnacentral:snoRNA from 11 species